GACAGAGGGUGCAAACGUUGUUCGGAAUUACUGGGCGUAAAGGGCUCGUAGGUGGCCAACUAAGUCAGACGUGAAAUCCCUCAGCUUAACUGGGGAACUGCGUCUGAUACUGGAUGGCUUGAGUUUGGGAGAGGGAUGCGGAAUUCCAGGUGUAGCGGUGAAAUGCGUAGAUAUCUGGAGGAACACCGGUGGCGAAGGCGGCAUCCUGGACCAACACUGACACUGAUGAGCGAAAGCCAGGGGAGCAAACGGG
rnacentral:rRNA from 1 species